AUUGAACGCUGGCGGCAUGCCUUACACAUGCAAGUCGAACGGCAGCACGGGAGCAAUCCUGGUGGCGAGUGGCGAACGGGUGAGUAAUAUAUCGGAACGUGCCCAGUAGUGGGGGAUAACUGCUCGAAAGAGCAGCUAAUACCGCAUACGACCUGAGGGUGAAAGGGGGGGAUCGCAAGACCUCUCGCUAUUGGAGCGGCCGAUAUCAGAUUAGCUAGUUGGUGGGGUAAAGGCCUACCAAGGCAACGAUCUGUAGUUGGUCUGAGAGGACGACCAGCCACACUGGGACUGAGACACGGCCCAGACUCCUACGGGAGGCAGCAGUGGGGAAUUUCGGACAAUGGGCGCAAGCCUGAUCCAGCAAUGCCGCGUGCAGGAAGAAGGCCUUCGGGUUGUAAACUGCUUUUGUCAGGGAAGAAAUCCUCUAGGUUAAUACCCUUGGGGGGAUGACGGUACCUGAAGAAUAAGCACCGGCUAACUACGUGCCAGCCGCCGCGGUAAAAC
rnacentral:rRNA from 1 species